rnacentral:lncRNA from 1 species
CUGCAACACCAUCAAAUAUGUGGCAAAUCUGGCUUAAAACAGCACCGACUACAUCACCCAGAAUGCCCAGCGCCAGAGGAGCAUGCGUACAGUGACUCUGCCGUCACAGGUUGUUAUGGACGCUGUCACAGAACACAGAACCCAUGCCACCACAUGCCUCGUCCAAAGGAUUUACACACGCACAAACGCAACAUAAUGCGGCACUCCACCAUGGAUCACCGAACCAAACCACCGCUAUCACCACCGCCACCAGAAACCAGCAGAGUGCUCUGAACAAUCAGCACAAUGCAAAUGGCUGAUAAUAAUAGCCUAAUGCUAUAUAGCAUCUGGGUCGCUGAACUACCGCACCCGGCGAGCUACAAGUUACUCCCGGCCAACUAACACCGACACAGUGAGUCCUUCCCGGUUUUGUCCGUUCUGCCUGCCCUGACCCUGCCUGCCGUUCUAUACCUUGCCCCACCUCACUGGGUUAUUGACCCCUGCCUGCCCUGACCCUGAGACUGCCCACCGUUCUGGACCUUUUGCACCCUCUCUGGAUUACUGACAUCUGCCUGCCUUUGACCUGUCGUUUGCCUGCCCCUGUACUAGAAAUACAAGUUUUUUCUUUGUCACUGUCUGCAUCUGGGUCAUACCUGAAACCUGAUAGUAUGGAUGUAUUAAUUUGUGGAUUUCCAUCACCCAUUUCACACGAUACGUUACGAAUUUGAAAACGUAUGAUAUGUUAUGAAUUCUAGCUAGGUAGCUAAUGUUAGCUAGCUGGCUAACGUUAACUAGGCUAAGGGUUAGGGUUAAGUUCGGGAGUUAGGUAAAAGGGUUAAGGUUAGGGUUAGCUAAAAGGGUUACGGUUGGGGUUAAGGGAAGGGUUAGCUAACAUGCUACAUAGUUGCAAAGUAGCUAAACAGUUGUAAGUAGUUGAAAGGUUGCUCUUUAGCUAAAUUGCUAACGUUGUCCAUGAUGAGUCUUAAGUGUCGGGGAUUUACCUUUACUAUGUUACAUCCAGUUUAUGAGACCAAGUGGUUAUAUCUGCAGGGCAGCCAGGUUUAGGGUCAUUAAAUAUUGUGUGGAUGAAGCAGGUUGAAUAAAGAGAAAAACAAUACAUAAAAUGCACAAUACAUAAAUCCCUAAACCUAUCAUUUUUGUGCAAUUUAUGUCAAUAGUCUACAUUAAGGUUUUUCUUUCAUUAUUUUAGGCUAUCUGGCAUUAGUGCAUAAGCCUAAGCUUUAGGACCUAACUUU